UCCGCUGCAGGUCCUCCCAAGAACGCGCGCUCUCUCUUUCCAUUAUUUUUCUUUGCCAUUCUAAUAAAAAAAGUUUUCUUUGGAAGAUUCUUCUGCAGCUAUCCUUUUUUUUUCGUUUGAAAUGCAGACAUCCUGAUUUCGGGGGUAAGUAACUGUGUACUUCGUCAUAUCUUCCGGCAGAGUCCAUUGUAGAUCAGUAGAUCACUAACCUCCCUACCUCAGCUGCUCACCGCGGCGGAAGAUACCCCGAUUCGGAGGGCAAUGCGGCCAAGGUGUUCGGGAAUUGAUCUGAACAAGCAUCCUGUCAGGGAUCUUGGCUCUUUGAUCUGAACAAGCAUCCUGUCGGGGAUCUUGGCUCUUUGAUCUGAACAAGGUGUUCGUAAGGACCCUUUACUCAGAGAAUCUUGGCUCUUUUCUAAUCCUCUUGUACUUAGGAGCAUGCCUUUGCAGUAGGAGUUAGAUUCCAAUGUAGCUGGGAAAAAAAGAUGUGGUAUUACCUCCUAUUAGUUGUAGUUGAUGGCUAAAAUGUUUACAAACUACCUGCUUCUACACGGUAGUAUCUUUCCACAAACUGUUUAGAAUUACAUUGGCGGAAUCAGCAGCUCUGUGCUUCUGCAGCAUGGGAGUUGGACUUGUUCUAUGUAGGACCUUUUCCUUGUCAAGUGAUCUGGACUCGACUCCAUAAACUUUUUCAUACUUCAUAGCAACCAUAGAGAUUUACGUAUGCUAUGCUUCAGUUUAGUUGCUGUUGGGUUUAGUCCAAAACGAGUGAUUAUCUUGGAUCGCUGUUUCUUCCAAAUACUUCGGUGUUUGUAGGUCUUGGUAAACUUCCCGGUACUUGGAACCUUUGCAAUUCAUCGAUCUAAUAUCUGUUGUAAUUAUUAUAAUCCUGAAGCUUCUAUCACGUUGUUUCUUGUCUUAAACAUGUAAAAUGGAUUACUUCCUUUUGAGUUGCAAGAGAUAGUAUGUUUCAUGGAUCUACCAUUAACCCUUUAAGUUGCAUCUAGUACAUACUAUGCAGCAUAUUCUGCUGAUGGGUGAAAAUAGUUGGAACUAAAUUAUAGAAUGCAACAUGGCUUGAACCAAGGAUGGAAGAGGGGUUGCUAUUGCCACUACCUGGAGUUGAACAUAGUCCUUUAUCUCUACUAAACUGAAAAUGGACACAUGGACAUUGCAACUUGAUUUCUGAAGAACAUUGGGUCUUUUCUUCUGGUCUUGCGCAUUUUAUGACUGCUAUAUUGGAAUUCAUAUUGGUUUGGCAACAUCUAUGAUUUUUCUUUGAAAUCUAAAUGUUGUUGUUGAACUGAUUUUCUGAUUGUUACCUACCUGUAACUUCCGUUCUUUUCAGUUUCAUUGUAAAUGUUUGAAGAGUUUCCGUCUUCGAGAUAUUACAAGCUUUAUGGAAAUAAAUUUUAUUGCUCUCUUAACACUGUAUAAUCGCAGAUGUUAAAGCUCACGAGAAUUUAAUCCUAUUUUGUUACGUAAAACACUUGCCGGGAGAAUAGCUGGACGGCAUCGGCUACUAGGGGAGGGAUUGAACUAUAGAUUGGGAAGACUUAGAACAUUAGAAGAGGCAUAGGAGAAGAGGACUGAGAACUAGAUUAAUUUAUCUUUCUUGAUUGAUUCUUUAAUCACGGUUGGCGCCGUGUAUAUGUAUAGCCGGCAUAGGAAAAGGGGACUGGGAAACUGUUCUGCAGGGUCUUCCGCUGGUCUAGGUUUUCUUGCGUGGUACUUGGCUGGCAAACUUAAAGCUUUUGAUCGCAAAGGACAUAUUGCGAAACUGUGUUUAGUAUUUCUGCCUCUACUUGUUGCAUCACUUGUGGCAGUUUCUCGAGUUGAUGAUUACUGGCAAGAUGUAUUUGCAGGCGGCAUCUUAGGUCUUAUAGUUGCUUCAUUUUGUUACCUGCAGUUUUUCCCUUAUCCCUUUGAUAAUGAUGCUAUAUGGCCUCAUGCAUACUUCCAACAGCUAACUGAGACGCACAACAAUGGUAAUGCAAAUUCAUUCAGCACGAGACCAACAGAGUUUGAAGCUGAAGAAGGCCAUGGUGGCAUUGCCCUGAGAGACACCAGCCCUAUUUUGGACUCAAUGGAGUCUGGCAGGAGACAAUGAAGCAUGUUACUGCAAGUAUCUCCAAGGCGCUAAUUCUUCCUGUCUUCAGGAGUUUGCAUUCUGGAAGCAUGACAGGUUUCAUGGUUGCAUCUUUUACACGACCAGAUUUAAACAGUGUGUGGAGUUAUGUCUACGAGAUUAUGACCUUCCUAUGAUCAUUGACGAUUCACAGUUUCUUGUAACCAGACAGCUGGUCUCAAUAUCAUGACAUAGUUAGCUGUUGCUGUUGGCUGUAAAUUGACAGAGUGAAUGCUUAUGUUUUCAGUGACGAUGUGAAUAGUUUGGUUUUGGACUGCUGUGGUGUUCGAAUUUAUGCUCAAAGUUUCCCCUAUGGU